GCCUGGGUGGCUCAGUCGAUUAAGCGUCUGACUUCGGCUCAGGUCAUGAUCUCGUGGUUCGUGGGUUCAAACCCCACCUCGGGCU
rnacentral:tRNA from 1 species